rnacentral:lncRNA from 12 species
GUUGAAACGCUCCCUUUUGCAAAAGCUUCCCAGCAGCUUUCCCAGCGAGUCUGCAGUGGUGGAGAGGUAGGAAAUGUGCAGCAGUGCUACCUCAGCACGGGCAGCCUCGCCAGGAGAGAGGGGCUUUUGUUUUUCUUGGGGUUUUGUUCUGGAGGUGCUGCGCCUGGUGUGACUUGAAAGCAGCCAGAGAAGGAGAAUGUGCAGCUCUUUGGAUCUGUCCCCUGUAUCCUAGAAGGCAGCAUGGGGAAACUCCACAGCAGCCCCAUGCGAGUGGUGCCUAUUGUUUCCAUGAGCGCAGCCUCCUCUCAGUGAGUCCCUGCUUUUUUGUCUUGCCUCUUGAUCUUCCCACGUCUCUCUGUGCUGUCACAAUUCAUGCAGAAAUCCUUUGGACUCUCCAG